rnacentral:rRNA from 1 species
UGGAUCCAGACUUUGAUUCUGGCUCAGGACGAACGCUGGCGGCGCGCCUAACACAUGCAAGUCGAACGGGGUUAUACUGGAUGAAGUUUUCGGAUGGAAUUUGGUAUAACCUAGUGGCGGACGGGUGAGUAACACGUGAGCAACCUGCCUAUCAGAGGGGGAUAACGAUUGGAAACGAUCGCUAAUACCGCAUGACAUAGCGGAACCGCAUGGUUCUGCUAUCAAAGAUUUUAUCGCUGAUAGAUGGGCUCGCGUCCGAUUAGAUAGUUGGUGGGGUAACGGCCUACCAAGUCGACGAUCGGUAGCCGGACUGAGAGGUCGAACGGCCACAUUGGGACUGAGACACGGCCCAGACUCCUACGGGAGGCAGCAGUGGGGGAUAUUGCACAAUGGGGGAAACCCUGAUGCAGCGACGCCGCGUGAGGGAAGACGGUCCUCUGGAUUGUAAACCUCUGUCUUCGGGGACGAAAGUAGACGGUACCCGAGGAGGAAGCCACGGCUAACUACGUGCCAGCAGCCGCGGUAAUACGUAGGCGGCAAGCGUUGUCCGGAAUUACUGGGUGUAAAGGGAGCGUAGGCGGGCAGGCAAGUCAGGCGUGAAAUAUAUCGGCUCAACCGGUAACGGCGCUUGAAACUGCAGGUCUUGAGUGAAGUAGAGGUUGGCGGAAUUCCUAGUGUAGGGGUGAAAUGCGUAGAUAUUAGGAGGAACACCAGUGGCGAAGGCGGCCAACUGGGCUUUUACUGACGCUGAGGCUCGAAAGUGUGGGGAGCAAACAGGAUUAGAUACCCUGGUAGUCCACACCGUAAACGAUGAUUACUAGGUGUGGGGGGACUGACCCCUUCCGUGCCGGAGUUAACACAAUAAGUAAUCCACCUGGGGAGUACGGCCGCAAGGUUGCAACUCAAAUGAAUUGACGGA